AGGAAAGAAUACUUGCAAUUCACAAGCUUCUUGUGCCAAUACGGAUGGGUCGUUUCGGUGUUUAUGUAACACAGGAUAUACAGGAAACGGGCUAAAUUGUACAGAUAUUGAUGAAUGCAAAAUGAGAAAUGAAACUUGCAAUGCACGAGCUUCUUGUAUCAACACGGAUGGGUCAUUUCGCUGUUUAUGCGACACUGGAUAUACUGGAAAUGGAGUGAAUUGCACAGAUAUUGACGAAUGUCUCAUACGAUAUAACAACAAUUGUCCUUAUUCAAAUACAAUUUGUUUGAAUACCCGUGGUUCGUUCUUUUGCGGCUGUUCAAUCGGAUACUCUGGGGAUGGUGUUAUUUGCAAUGGUAUGCUUUUCUC